CGGAAGGAAGCAGCAGUAAUGCUAACAAGGCGAGUGUUC
rnacentral:SRP_RNA from 1 species